GCAUUGGUGGUUCAGUGGUAGAAUUGUCGCCUGCCACGCGAGGGAAGCUCGGGUUCGAUUCCCAGCCAAUGCA